GACGAACGCUGGCGGCGUGCUUAACACAUGCAAGUCGAACGGAAAGGCCCUGCUUUUGUGGGGUGCUCGAGUGGCGAACGGGUGAGUAACACGUGAGUAACCUGCCCUUGCCUUUGGGAUGACUUCAGGAAACUUGGGCUCAUCCCGGAUAGGAGCUCCCGCUUCUUGGUGGGGGCUGGAAAGUUUCGGCGGUUGGGGAUGGACACGCGGCUUAUCAGCUUGUUGGUGGGGUAGUGGCUUACCAAGGCUUUGACGGGUAGCCGGCCUGAGAGGGUGACCGGCCACAUUGGGACUGAGAUACGGCCCAGACUCCUACGGGAGGCAGCAGUGGGGAAUAUUGCACAAUGGGCGGAAGCCUGAUGCAGCAACGCCGCGUGCGGGAUGACGGCCUUCGGGCUGUAAACCGCUUUCGCCUGUGACGAAGCGUGAGUGACGGUAAUGGGUAAAGAAGCACCGGCUAACUACGUG
rnacentral:rRNA from 1 species